UCCCAAAGCAGCCUACAUAUUCAGUACAAUUCUACCAAUAUGCCAACAGCAUUCUCAGAAAUAGAAAAAACAAUCCUACAAUUUCUAUGGAACCGCAAAAGACCCAGCAUAGCCAAAGUUAUUCUAAGCAAAAAGAACAAAACUGGAGGAAUCACAUUACCUGACUUCAAAUAAUACUACACAGCUAUG